UUCGUAGGCGGCCAAACAGGUCAGGUGUGAAAUCCCACAGCUCAACUGUGGAACUGCGCUUGAGACCGUUUGGCUCGAGGGAGAUAGAGGUGAGCGGAACAGAUGGUGGAGCGGUGAAAUGCGUUGAUAUCAUCUGGAACACCGGUGGCGAAAGCGGCUCACUGGAUCUCUUCUGACGCUGAGGAAACGAAAGCGUAGGGUAGACGGAACG
rnacentral:rRNA from 1 species